GACGAACGCUGGCGGCGUGCUUAACACAUGCAAGUCGAACGGAAAGACCCUGCUUUUGUGGGGUGCUCGAGUGGCGAACGGGUGAGUAACACGUGAGUAACCUGCCAUUGACUUUGGGAUAACUUCAGGAAACUGGGGCUAAUACCGGAUAGGAGCUCCUGCUGCAUGGUGGGGGUUGGAAAGUUUCGGCGGUUGGGGAUGGACUCGCGGCUUAUCAGCUUGUUGGUGGGGUAGUGGCUUACCAAGGCUUUGACGGGUAGCCGGCCUGAGAGGGUGACCGGCCACAUUGGGACUGAGAUACGGCCCAGACUCCUACGGGAGGCAGCAGUGGGGAAUAUUGCACAAUGGGCGGAAGCCUGAUGCAGCACCGCCGCGUGCGGGAUGACGGCCUUCGGGUUGUAAACCGCUUUCGCCUGUGACGAAGCGUGAGUGACGGUAAUGGGUAAAGAAGCACCGGCUAACUACGUG
rnacentral:rRNA from 1 species